rnacentral:rRNA from 1 species
UACGUAGGGUGCAAGCGUUGUCCGGAAUUACUGGGCGUAAAGAGCUCGUAGGUGGUUUGUCGCGUUGUCCGUGAAAACUCACAACUCAAUUGUGGGCGUGCGGGCGAUACGGGCAGACUGGAAUACUGCAGGGGAGACUGGAAUUCCUGGUGUAGCGGUGGAAUGCGCAGAUAUCAGGAGGAACACCGGUGGCGAAGGCGGGUCUCUGGGCAGUAACUGACGCUGAGGAGCGAAAGCGUGGGGAGCGAACAGG